ACACCGAAGCGCUCUGGACCCCUGACUUCUAACCUCCGCCCGCUGCUGCUUGCUGCAUCCGUCGCCCCCUCGCCGCCAAGCUGGUCGCAUCGCUGCCGUUUCAAGAGGCUGACUGGAGGCCGGCGAGGAAAGAGAGAGAGACGGCGUCGCGAGGAGGCGGCUGCCCACUCCUUCCCCAGACACCGUUUUGGGGCCUCCUGACCACCCCGCCCCAUCCUGCGCCUUGGACUGGGCCCACGACGCCCACGGUCUUGACGCUUUCCGCCUCUGAAACAGUCACCAAAGCCCCUGCAAUGGAAUUGGGGGACCGGUUGGCCUUGGGCAGAGAAGCGGCUCCUGGGCUGGGUGGAAGGAAACCGUAGCCUUGGGGUUGCCACCAGAAAUAUGGUAUGGGUGUGGGGUGGGUGGCCUGUGAGAUCAGUAGGUUAAAGCCCUGGCUCAUCGUUGCCCUGGGGCCACAUAGGAAGUGCGGGUGCCCGGCCUUGUGACCUCCUCUUGCAACAGUGAGUUGUUCCACUCACUGUAAUUUGACUUUGCCUAUGUUUAUGUCCUCUCCCUUCUCUGACCCUGUGCUCCUCCAGGCCAUUGUGCUUUUUCAUCCUGAUGGCUCCCACAGUGCCUGCCUCUGAACCUGUUUGCUAAGUGAUCGAGAAGCUGCCAUACCCCGAACAUUAGGCACCAACCAGACUUUACUGGCCCUAUCCCAAGAGCAAUUUCCAGAUUUAUUUGUUUUUGUUUUUAAGUCCAGAACCUCUUUUACAUCUUUAAAUUAAUCCCCACUUUUUUUUUUUUUUUUUACAGCUUCAGGCAGCCUCCAUGUCUCUCUGGAUGAUGUAAGGAGGAUUUUAAGGCAGAAAUGCAAGCAAAAAGAAAUAUCCCAAACGUGACUGGGAAGAGAAGAGCCAGGACUGACCAGAAGCUGGAGUGAAGAUGAAAGAACCACAGGAUAUUGAAGAAUUGGCCGUAAUGAAUAACUUUGAAGUCCUGUCUGGUCUGUGUCCUCGGACUCCCCUGGGGUCUCUCCCCUGCUUUCCAUUCGUCAAGCUGGCUGAACUCAGGCAUUCAGAGCAAAGGGAGAGGUUGGUGGAGGUGAAGUAGGUGAGGGAAAAACAUCGCAGUAUCCCACACCUGAUUCAUCUGUUCACUCAGCAAAUAUUUAUUGAGUACCUACUACAUCCCAGAAGCUGUUCCAGGCACUGGAAUACAUCAGCGAAUAAAACAGAGUCACUUGCUCCUAGCAAA